UAUUUUUGGACUGUGGGGGGAAAGCAGCCUACCCAAGCAUGAGGAGAAGAAUGUCAUGUGAGACUGGAGGCGAGGCUCAAACUCCAAACCCCGGAAUUGCUUGAAAGGCUGGGUCACUGGAGCAUAUCCCAGGAGACUUAGGGCAUGAGACGAGUGGGAGGAAACCGGAGUUCCCGGAGGAAACUCACCAAGCACAGGGAGAACAUGGAAACUCUAUGCACACAGAGCCAAGGCGGGAAUUAAACCCGGAUUCAAGGUGACAAUGCUAACCAUUAAGCCAU